ACGGGUGAGUAACGCGUAGGAACGUGUCCAGAGGUGGGGGACAACCCCGGGAAACUGGGGCUAAUACCGCAUAGGGGCUGAGGCCCAAAGCCGAAAGGCGCCUUUGGAGCGGCCUGCGUCCGAUUAGGUAGUUGGUGGGGUAAAGGCCUACCAAGCCUGCGAUCGGUAGCUGGUCUGAGAGGACGACCAGCCACACUGGGACUGAGACACGGCCCAGACUCCUACGGGAGGCAGCAGUGGGGAAUAUUGGACAAUGGGCGAAAGCCUGAUCCAGCAAUGCCGCGUGGGUGAAGAAGGUCUUCGGAUCGUAAAGCCCUUUCGACGGGGACGAUGAUGACGGUACCCGUAGAAGAAGCCCCGGCUAACUUCGUGCCAGCAGCCGCGGUAAUACGAAGGGGGCUAGCGUUGCUCGGAAUUACUGGGCGUAGAGGGCGCGUAGGCGGCGGCCCAAGUCAGGCGUGAAAUUCCUGGGCUCAACCUGGGGACUGCGCUUGAUACUGGGUUGCUUGAGGAUGGAAGAGGCUCGUGGAAUUCCCAGUGUAGAGGUG
rnacentral:rRNA from 1 species